UCACAAUGACAAUGUCAGUGUGUGCUCAUUUGAUCAGUCUUUGUCCGUCAACAGUUCUUCCCCUUGCCCCUUUUUUAAUUUAUUUAUGAAUAUAUUUUUCUCAUAAUAUGUUCUUGGAUUUUUUAUCAAAUUAUAUUGAAAAUUCAUGAGAUUCGAACCCUCGAGAUGACAUUGUUGUGUUUGAUCAUGUCAUGACUUAAAUCUAAGAACUACUUAAUGUGUUUGAUCUUAUCAGACUAAAAAACUAGGUACUACUUAAUCUGAUUUUUGUGGAUGUUUCUCCAACGUAAUGUAGUAUAUAAUUAAGUAGUACUUAGUUUUUAUUUUAUGAAUAUGCAUUUUCAAAGUAUUGCAGUAAAUGUGUACCUGACGAAAUUAAUGUUUUUCAUGAUACAAACAGCUUAUGCAGCCACGGUUUCAGUAACCGUUGGACACUUUGUUUGAGAUUCGCCAUCAAUCAAUAGCUUCUUCCCAGAUGUUUGCUGAACACAUGUCCUACACAGAAAAGUAUGGCUAGCAUGUUUUAGAAAAUAGGAAUGUGUACAUGUGGUGAGGUUUCCAGAUGGUCUGAGGAUGAUUUUGUUUACAGUGUUAAAAUUAUUUUAUUUAAAUAUAGAUGAUGAAUUUUUAUUUCACAGAUAGUGUGUUUAUUUAUCAGUUGACAAUGUGAUCAGUUGAUCGGUCUGUUGAUUAUGAUAAUUGUGGCAGUUGUUAACUUUGUGUAUUGUGCAGCUGUAUGCUGUCAGCUGUUGAACUGAAAUAAGGAGGUGAGCUACAGUGCCAUUUUUUUCUUGUAAAAACAUCACAAAAUAUUAUUUGAUAUGUGUGAAGAUUCAAAUCACGUAUUAGCUUACGUUGUUUUACAGUUGUUCAUGUGGGUACAAAUUUUGGAUUAACAAGAAAAUUGUUUGAUAAUAAAAGUGUUUCAUUUUUCAUCAAA